rnacentral:rRNA from 1 species
UACGAAGGGUGCAAGCGUUACUCGGAAUUACUGGGCGUAAAGCGUGCGUAGGUGGUUUGUUAAGUCUGUUGUGAAAGCCCCGGGCUCAACCUGGGAAUGGCAAUGGAUACUGGCAAGCUUGAGUGCGGUAGAGGGUAGUGGAAUUCCCGGUGUAGCGGUGAAAUGCGUAGAGAUCGGGAGGAACACCAGUGGCGAAGGCGGCUACCUGGACCAGCACUGACACUGAGGCACGAAAGCGUGGGGAGCAAACAGG